CUGAAGAAACCGUGAUAAAAUCCGAAUAAGUUGUUUCAUUAUAAUUUUAAAUGUCUUCGUUUUAAAUUGCUUACUUAUUACUAACGAAUUUCGUAAAAACAAAUAUAUGGAAAUCGGAGAUGACUAGACCAGAUUCAAAAUUAAAUCUUUAAACGAGUUUAAAAAACCUUAAAUCUAUGUUCCAACAGGAGAUAAUAGCGUCGGUUCGCGAGAAGGGCCCUCAGUUCUCGGAGCUGGAGUACCUCAACGCGUUUAAGGUGAUCGGAGCAAGGCGCGGCCUCUCGCCUGCAGACAUGAGAUCGCAGUUGCGGCAGUUGUCCGCCGCUCUCGGACACGUGGGCGUCACUGUUUAACAUAAUGAUUUUCUAGUUGUAAAGGCGUGACCUUGAAGGUGUAACAUGUGCCCAUGACUUUGAAAGGAAGAAAGAAAGAAACACAUUUAUUUGGGACAUAAUACAAAUUAUAGAAAAUGUAAAUGCGCGCGCACGUGGCCUUCUAGGUGUAACAUGCGCGCGCACGUGGCCUUCUAGGUGUAACAUGUGCGCAAAAUAAAUUUCUUAGUUUCAAAAGCGUUAAAACAAUUAUAAUGCAAUAAUUAAAUAUUAUUGAAAACAUAUAAUUUUUUUUUUUUUUUUUUUAAUAUCAGUAAGGCCUUAUUUUAGUUUUUAAAGAAUUGUUAUUAUAAUGUAUAGUGUUUUCUAAUGUUUACGCGAAUUUCGCUUAUUACAAUAAAAUAUUUUUUUCGGAUUUGGGACUCGUGGUCCUCCCGUGACCAUGGUUGCUGUAAAGUAUCCAGAACGUCGGGUAUCUGAAAAAAUAAACCGCGAUAAAAUCCGAAAAACUUGUUUUAUUAUUAUAAUGUAGUAAUUUUUAUUUUUUAUACGAAAGCAUACAAUUAUGAGAAAAUUUGAACUGAUAAUAUUUUUAGAAGUGCUCUGUUUGAUCAAGUCAUAACAAUUGCAGCGUAUUCAGCGUCUUGUACAAGUUAUAAAAUUAAACAUGUCGUUUAAGUUUAUCAGAAAUUAUAAAAUUAGCUGUAAUAACACGACUUAGGUUUCUCCAGAUAGCAAGGCUCGUUUAUACCACUUGUAAUUAUUUAAAGUCGCAAAAAAUAGAAUUAUUUAUAAAAUAUAUUAUAUAGAAUAAAAUAUAUACAAUUAUAUUAAGAAUGUUAUUUUUGUAAUUAUAAAUUCUGCUAAUUAAUUCCAGUAUUCAGAAGUGUAGAUGAUAUCAAGUUUAUUAAUUGUUUUUCUACAAUAAAGGUUUUUAUUAUCAUUAUC
rnacentral:misc_RNA from 1 species